rnacentral:rRNA from 1 species
CAGCCGCCGCGGAAUACGUAGGGUGCAAGCGUUAAUCGGAAUUACUGGGCGUAAAGCGUGCGCAGGCGGUUAUAUAAGACAGAUGUGAAAUCCCCGGGCUCAACCUGGGAACUGCAUUUGUGACUGUAUAGCUAGAGUACGGCAGAGGGGGAUGGAAUUCCGCGUGUAGCAGUGAAAUGCGUAGAUAUGCGGAGGAACACCGAUGGCGAAGGCAAUCCCCUGGGCCUGUACUGACGCUCAUGCACGAAAGCGUGGGGAGCAAACAGGAUUAGAGACCCGCGUAGUCCCUGUCUCUUAUACC